rnacentral:rRNA from 1 species
UCGGGAAUUUUGGGCAAUGGGCGAAAGCCUGAUGGAGCGACGCCGCGUGGAGGAUGAAGGCCUUCGGGUUGUAAACUCCUGUCAUGAGGGAACAAGAAAGUGAUAGUACCUCAAGAGGAAGAGACGGCUAACUCUGUGCCAGCAGCCGCGGUAAUACAGAGGUCUCAAGCGUUGUUCGGAUUUACUGGGCGUAAAGGGUGCGUAGGCGGCGGCGUAAGUCGAGUGUGAAAUCUUCCGGCUCAACCGGAAAUUGCACUCGAUACUGUGUCGCUCGAGGACUGUAGAGGAGACUGGAAUUCACGGUGUAGCAGUGAAAUGCGUAGAUAUCGUGAGGAAGACCGGUGGCGAAAGCGAGUCUCUGGGCAGUUCCUGACGCUGAGGCACGAAGGCUAGGGGAGCAAACGGGAUUAGAUACCCCGGUAGUCCCUGAGCGGGCUGGCAAGGCGCAU